GAUUGUAAUUCCGGGCCUAAGCC
rnacentral:siRNA from 1 species